rnacentral:rRNA from 1 species
AUACGGAGGGUGCAAGCGUUAUCCGGAAUCAUUGGGUUUAAAGGGUCCGUAGGCGGACUAAUAAGUCAGGGGUGAAAUCCCACAGCUUAACUGUGGAACUGCCUUUGAUACUGUUAGUCUUGAGUUAUAUGGAAGUAGAUAGAAUGUGUAGUGUAGCGGUGAAAUGCUUAGAGAUUUCACAGAAUACCGAUUGCGAAGGCAGUCUACUACAUAUAUACUGACGCUAAUGGACGAAAGCGUGGGGAGCGAACAGGAUUAGAUACCCUAGUAGUCC